UACGGAGGAGGCAAGCGUUAUCCGGAAUUAUUGGGCGUAAAGCGUCCGCAGGUGGCGAUUCAAGUCUGCGGUCAAAGACUGGGGCUUAACCCUGGAAAGGCCGUGGAAACUGAAAAGCUAGAGUGCAGUAGGGGUAGAGGGAAUUCCCGGUGUAGCGGUGAAAUGCGUAGAGCUCGGGAAGAACAUCGGUGGCGAAGGCGGCCUUCUGGACAGUGACUGACGCUGAGACGCGAAAGCGUGGGGAGCAAACAGG
rnacentral:rRNA from 1 species